rnacentral:rRNA from 1 species
UGUCCACCGAAAGCCUAAGGUUUCCUGGGGAAGGCUCGUCCUCCCAGGGUUAGUCGGGACCUAAGCUGAGGCCGAAAGGCGUAGGCGAUGGACAACUGGUUGAUAUUCCAGUACCACCUCUGUUCCGUUUGAGCAAUGGCGUGACGCAGGAGGAUAGGGUGAGCGGCCUAUUGGAUGGCCGUCUAAGCAGUAAGUGUGGUGUGUAGGCAAAUCCGCACACCAGUAAGCACAAGCUGUGAUGGCGAGGGAAAUAUAAGUACCGAAGUCCCUGAUUUCACACUGCCAAGAAAAGCGUCUAGCGAGGAACAAGGUGCCCGUACCGCAAACCGACACAGGUAGGCGAGGAGAGA